UGGCAUCUCUGUACGCAAGACUUUUUCGUUCUUGUAUUUUUCGUGAUGUGCCACGGACUAUAAAUUUUUGUCGCGUUGCUGAAGGCAUUACAUAUUUACAGAAACUACAUUUUUCUAAUUCAUAUUCGCAGAUCUGUGCCGUAUUGAUUCUACUUAAUAAUUUUUUGCCCCAACCAAAGUAUCUAAAAACUUCAAGCCAACAACCCUACUCGCCCAAGAGGAUAUAAUUCUGUUCGUACACGCAAAAGUUGAAGCUUGUACAAUCAUUGUGUCUUCCCGAUUCGCACAAAUGUUGCACAGAAAUCGCACAAUAAAUGUGUGAAAUGCAUAACGCAACAGUUGUACUGCGAAUACAUUGACAUAGAAUGAAAUCAGAAUAUGUAUCAUAUACCGACACUUUAUUUCUCACGUCGAGUGUAUUAGUGACUGCUACUCAUGGAGCAGUGCAAGUAGCAAACAACAACUUGUGAACUCACUAGAUUUAAAUAGCUAUAAUACUCGAUCGAUUUAUCUCGAUGGAUUUGCAAAAAAAACGAAACAAAAUUCUGUUCACAACAUUUUGUUAUCAACGCUAGCUUCACCGCAAAACUAGAAAAACUCUUCAUUCCACAAAGUCACAAAAGCGUUGCCGAUUUUUAUGGCAACACUUGUAAAUUGUGAAUAAUUAUUAUUUGUCAUCCUUUGCACGCUUUUUUUUUUCAAGCGACGAGAGAAAUUUCUCUCUAUGCUAUGAUCAAGAAAAUUAAUGUUCAUGGAUUCGGGGCAAAUAGUUUGUUUCACCAUGUCAUUGAUAAGUUCAAGGACCUAGAAAUAAAUCCAUUAGAGUUUGCCACAUGUGAAGGCAACAAAAGGAUAAGAUUUGUAUUAACAAUAUUUCAAGAUUUUGCCGAAGACCAAAACAUCUUCUACAAUCCGACUGUGUAGAAUAUUUCAACGAUUUGAGAAAUGAGGAAAACUACAACCAAGAUGUUGCUAGGAACAGCCCUUCGGAAACAGGAGUAAAAGCUGAUUCAGUGUUUAACAUACUUCCAUCAUACCACACCAAAAACCUGUCAGUAGAUCCCAUGCACGACUUGUUUUGUGGUGGGGUUUGUGUUUCAGGAAUCGAAGAGAUUUAAAAUCACUGUACAAAUGCUUAAUGCUCAUAAGAACUUGUUCAGCAAGCAGGUAUAUAACACAUCUUUGAAACAAAUGCCAGAUAUCAAUGAAACGUAUUCAUCUAUCAGAAAAUCAAAAACGGUGACUAUCAGAGCCACUGCUAGCGAACUGAAGGCGUUUGUUCACUUUUUACGUUAAUAGUAGGCUCAUUUAUACCUGAAAAAGAUGAAGUGUGGAACUAUUGCAGAACAAUAAUCCAAAUGGUGGAUAUUAUUCUUUUGUCGACGUUGACCGAGAACCACAUUCAGCAAUUAAAAAAUUUAGUUGCAGCUCAUAAUACGCUAUACCAACGAUUAUUUGCACGGACGCUUAAACCAAAGCAUCAUUUCUUGACUCAUUACGGAGGGGUUGCAGAACAAAAUGGUGUUUUGGUGAGCAUGAUGAAUUUUCGUUACGAAGCAAAGCACAAAGUCUUCAAAGAAUACGCACAUGUUAUUUCAUCACGUCGUAACAUCUGUUACACAUUGUGCUUGAAAGCAGCGUUACAAUUUGCAUUCAAUUUACACAACGAAACGUUUUUCAAAUCUUCCAAAAACAACUACGUACCAUGUGUUUUGAUGAGUCGUUCCUUUAUAUCCCACGUAGCUAAGCAACUGCCCUUUGAUAAUACUCUUGAAAUCUUUACAGCAAAAAAGAUAAAACAUAUUGGCACUGAUUACCAACCAGGCAUGUUUUUAACAUUAACGAAAGGAGAUACAGUAAAACUUUUGGAAGUGAUAGAAUUUCUUUUAGCUGGAAGUAAUAUUUUCGUCGCAGGACAGCAAUGGAAAGUAGGCGAAUUCAACAACCAUUUCCUCGCAUUUGGAGCGAUAUCUAAAACGAAAAAUGUAAGCGUAGUUAAAUUAUGUAAUAUUGACGGCCCUCCUGUAUCUGUUCAUAAUAUUAUGAACAAGCUUUUAUUCCGUAAAAACUCUGAGAGUUUGUCCAUAGAAGACGAAGAUAAUUCAUAAAUAAAAUAAAUUAUAAUCUAUAAUAAAUGAAAAAUAAAAAUCA